UACGUAGGGUGCAAGCGUUGUCCGGAAUUAUUGGGCGUAAAGAGCUCGUAGGCGGUCUGUUGCGUCGGCUGUGAAAACCCGGGGCUCAACUCCGGGCCUGCAGUCGAUACGGGCAGACUAGAGUUCGGUAGGGGAGACUGGAAUUCCUGGUGUAGCGGUGAAAUGCGCAGAUAUCAGGAGGAACACCGGCGGCGAAGGCGGGUCUCUGGGCCGAAACUGACGCUGAGGAGCGAAAGCGUGGGGAGCGAACAGG
rnacentral:rRNA from 1 species